rnacentral:rRNA from 1 species
UUUUAUUUGAGAGUUUGAUCCUGGCUCAGGAUGAACGCUGGCGGCGUGCCUAACACAUGCAAGUUGAGCGAUUUACUUCGGUAAAGAGCGGCGGACGGGUGAGUAACGCGUGGGUAACCUACCCUGUACACCCGGAUAACAUACCGAAAGGUAUGCUAAUACGGGAUAAUAUAUUUGAGAGGCAUCUCUUGAAUAUCAAAGGUGAGCCAGUACAGGAUGGACCCGCGUCUGAUUAGCUAGUUGGUAAGGUAACGGCUUACCAAGGCGACGAU